UACUAUUACUUCCACGAGAUAUUUUUAAUUGUAAGAUGAUUUUUAUAGACAAUAUUUAGAAACAACACACUUUCAAGUAUCUCAUCUAAGGGCUACAUUUAAAAAAUAAAAAGUGCAGCUUUAUGUAACUUUGUCAGAUUGAAACCACUUUAUCCCCUAACAAAAUGAAGAUUUUCUCCCCUAAAUUCUCUCUUAAUCUACACAAUAAAAUACAUUUUAAAUGAGAAAAUAGAUUGUUUUUCAGCAUAAAACGAUAAGCUUAGCAAUAAUUUACCAUUUAAUUUAACAAAAUGUGUUGUUUUUCGUUGAAGGCUAUGAAAAACAUUAUAUAUAUAUAUACCUCUACCUUCAAAUUAUGAGAAAGUGCCUGAACUAUUUUAGAAGGGCACAUUUUGCUGAGUUAGCGGUUAAACUUAGGAGGGAAACCGCUUUCGCUUGUUUUGACUCCACUGUAAACUUUCUCACCGACACGCCCCACGGAAUCCCCGAUACACAAGAGGUUCCUUCGUCGCUAACAGUCUUGAGAACCGGUCGGGUCAGAGAUUAACUUAACCAGUUGUCUAUAGUGGACGAUGUUUGGAAGGGACUUCGUUGCCUACCGAUCCAGCUUUCUCAUCAAACCACUUCUGGACCCUGAACUCAUCCUCAGUACCCUUGAAUGCUGGCGGUUUUGGUGUAAAUACGAAGGAAGAACUCCCCCUGCUGGUUGGGCCUAUAGACAGAGGCCACUAUAACAUAACUGCCAGGUUCCAGUUGCACCUUCCUCCAC